rnacentral:rRNA from 1 species
AUUGAACGCUGGCGGCAGGCCUAACACAUGCAAGUCGAGCGGUAGCACAGAGAGCUUGCUCUCGGGUGACGAGCGGCGGACGGGUGAGUAAUGUCUGGGAAACUGCCUGAUGGAGGGGGAUAACUACUGGAAACGGUAGCUAAUACCGCAUAAUGUCGCAAGACCAAAGUGGGGGACCUUCGGGCCUCAUGCCAUCAGAUGUGCCCAGAUGGGAUUAGCUAGUAGGUGGGGUAACGGCUCACCUAGGCGACGAUCCCUAGCUGGUCUGAGAGGAUGACCAGCCACACUGGAACUGAGACACGGUCCAGACUCCUACGGGAGGCAGCAGUGGGGAAUAUUGCACAAUGGGCGCAAGCCUGAUGCAGCCAUGCCGCGUGUGUGAAGAAGGCCUUCGGGUUGUAAAGCACUUUCAGCGGGGAGGAAGGCGUUAAGGUUAAUAACCUUGUCGAUUGACGUUACCCGCAGAAGAAGCACCGGCUAACUCCGUGCCAGCAGCCGCGGUAAUACGGAGGGUGCAAGCGUUAAUCGGAAUUACUGGGCGUAAAGCGCACGCAGGCGGUCUGUCAAGUCGGAUGUGAAAUCCCCGGGCUCAACCUGGGAACUGCAUUCGAAACUGGCAGGCUAGAGUCUUGUAGAGGGGGGUAGAAUUCCAGGUGUAGCGGUGAAAUGCGUAGAGAUCUGGAGGAAUACCGGUGGCGAAGGCGGCCCCCUGGACAAAGACUGACGCUCAGGUGCGAAAGCGUGGGGAGCAAACAGGAUUAGAUACCCUGGUAGUCCACGCCGUAAACGAUGUCGAUUUGGAGGUUGUGCCCUUGAGGCGUGGCUUCCGGAGCUAACGCGUUAAAUCGACCGCCUGGGGAGUACGGCCGCAAGGUUAAAACUCAAAUGAAUUGACGGGGGCCCGCACAAGCGGUGGAGCAUGUGGUUUAAUUCGAUGCAACGCGAAGAACCUUACCUGGUCUUGACAUCCACAGAACUUACCAGAGAUGCUUUGGUGCCUUCGGGAACUGUGAGACAGGUGCUGCAUGGCUGUCGUCAGCUCGUGUUGUGAAAUGUUGGGUUAAGUCCCGCAACGAGCGCAACCCUUAUCCUUUGUUGCCAGCGGUCCGGCCGGGAACUCAAAGGAGACUGCCAGUGAUAAACUGGAGGAAGGUGGGGAUGACGUCAAGUCAUCAUGGCCCUUACGACCAGGGCUACACACGUGCUACAAUGGCAUAUACAAAGAGAAGCGACCUCGCGAGAGCAAGCGGACCUCAUAAAGUAUGUCGUAGUCCGGAUUGGAGUCUGCAACUCGACUCCAUGAAGUCGGAAUCGCUAGUAAUCGUAGAUCAGAAUGCUACGGUGAAUACGUUCCCGGGCCUUGUACACACCGCCCGUCACACCAUGGGAGUGGGUUGCAAAAGAAGUAGGUAGCUUAACCUUCGGGAGGGCGCUUACCACUUUGUGAUUCAUGACUGGGGUG